rnacentral:rRNA from 1 species
UACGUAGGGUGCAAGCGUUGUCCGGAAUUAUUGGGCGUAAAGAGCUCGUAGGCGGUCUGUCGCGUCGGAUGUGAAAACCCAGGGCUCAACCCUGGGCCUGCAUUCGAUACGGGCAGACUAGAGUUCGGUAGGGGAGACUGGAAUUCCUGGUGUAGCGGUGAAAUGCGCAGAUAUCAGGAGGAACACCGGUGGCGAAGGCGGGUCUCUGGGCCGAAACUGACGCUCAUGCACGAAAGCGUGGGGAGCGAACAGG